rnacentral:sRNA from 1 species
AUUAAAAACCCCAUUUAUCCAAUUAAACGUUCAAUUAUUUUAACCCACUGUAUUUUAUUAUAAGAACAGGUUACCCUAAUAUUUUAAUCGUAACACCGUCCUUACCUAUUAUUCAACGAAUUACAAAAUAAGGGUAAAGAUUAAUACGUCCGGAAAAAUGGUGGCCGGAACGUUGCUGUAACAGAACCCAAAUAUUUAAAAAUAGCAUCCGAUCGCAUUUUUUUCCGAAAUUAUACAGCAGGCGGAAUUUAAUUACCCUAUUUACGAUAAAAAAUUGCUAACAAUCGUUAAAACGUUAAAAACCUAAAAAUUAAAACUAAUGGGUAUUAAAAAAAAAUUUGUGGCAAUUACUAAUUAUAAAACUUUGGAAUAUUUUUUUAUAAAACGGUUGUUUAAUUUCCGGUAAACGGCCUGGGCCGAUUUUUUUUCCCAAUAUAAUUUUAAAAUUAUUUACCGUCCUGGCAGCGAAAACGUGCUGGCAAAUAUUUUAACCCGCAAAAUAAAAAAUAUAUAAAAUUAAAAAAAACGUUAAAAAACAAAAUAUUAUAUGGUUAUUUUCCGUCCUGUCGAUAAUAUUGGCGACGACUUUUAUAUGGUUAACCCCUUUUUAUAUUGGUAAAUUUUUACCAAUAACGGUUUCGGAAUAUUAUUAAUAACAAUCGAACCAAUUGGCGCAAUUGGGCAAUUAUUAUUCGCUAAAAAAAUAUUUAAAACCAACAAAUAUUUACCAUUGUUAAAAUAAUACCGAAUUAAAACCCGUAACCCCGAAAAGAAAUAUUGGACGUUAUUAUAUAAUAAAUACGUAUUAUACCGAAAAAAAUUGGUAAUUUCAGGCGACGGGGAAUGGCCCGCUAAAAUAAUUUGUAAAAUUUAUGGAAUUAUUACUACGGCCCAUUAUAACCGCAAUAAAACCCGCCGUUUGGUGGUAUAGCAAUUUUGGUGACCAGAUAUAAACGAAAUAAUGCACCGCUAUAUUGCCAAUUGUUUUUGUCGAUUAACCAAAAUUCCGAAAAAUAAAACCUUUAGGUUUUUAUAAUUAUUACCCGUAUAGGAUCGAUAAUAAAAUACCAUCGUCGUAAAUUUUAAAUUAAUACCCAAAUCGAAAUCGGGAAACGAUAACCUGUUUGUAAUAAUUAAUACGUUAACGAAAUAAUUGUGGGCCGUUUUAUAUAUAAGGACGGCUACCGUAAAAAAUACAACCAUAAUAUAUUACGAAAAUCCUUACCGCGUUUAUAAUUUACCUACGAAAAUCGUUUCCGAAAAAAACCCGCAAUUUAUAUUAAAUUUAACCGACGAAAUGUCCAAGAUUUUGCAAAUUAAAUGGAAAUUUUCGACGGUCGGACAUUUCCAAAUAGCAGGGUAAAUAAAAAUUAUAAACGCCUAUAUCGAUUAAAAAUUGCGUUUUUAUAUUAAUUAUUUCCAAAACAAUUGGGACAAACAUAUAUCCGCAAUCGAUUUAAUGCAGGUAACGUUAUUUUAUAAUUUUUUCGGAGGAUUUUCAUUUUUCGAAAUUAAAAACGGUUACCCGGCCCAUAUAUAUUUCGAAUGGACGCAAAAAACCGAAUUAAAAAAAUUAUUUAUUUAUAAACGAUUUAUAAAAACCGAAAUUUAAAUAAUUACCAAAAAAUUCGAAAAUUACGUGGAAAUAAUACGCACCCAUUUCCAAAUAACGUAAUAACGAAUAUAUAACCAAACCAAUAAAUACCGCCGGAAAUCCGAUUUCGGAAUAAAAAACGCCGUUUAUAUUAUUAGAAAAAAAUUGGGUAACGGACCGUUUUAACGAUAAAUUAAAUUAUCCAUUAACCAAAUAUAAUUAUAUAAUUAAAAAAAAACGGGGGUAUUUUUACUAUUUAAAAUUAUUAAAUUUUUGGAAAAAAAACCGCGUAUUUUAUACCGACCGUUUUCGGUUAAACCCACGUAAUUUAUUGGACGGAUAAACCGUAAAAAAACCCGAAAGCGAAAUAAUUAACGCGUUAAAAAAUACCAACGAAAAAAAAUGGGAAAUCGAACGGGUAAUUUUUUCGCAAAUAUUACAAAAUAUAUUUUAAUACCAAAUCCAAUAAAAAAAUUGGGACCCCGACCCGGAAUUUUAUAACGCGGAAAAAUUUAAAAACGCGGUUAUAUAAUUGCGAUAAUAUUAUAACGUUUACCCCGAUAAAGCCGGCCUUUCCAUACGUUUAAAAACCUGGAAAAAGGCAAUUUUCGAAAAUCGGUUCGACCCGCCCGACAAAUAUAAUAACGCCCCGGUUACGGGGAAUAAUAUAACCCGCAAAUUACAACGUCGCCGGUAAAAAUAAAAUAAAAUACGGCAAAAGUUUUAACCGUUCGCGGGGCGGACGGGGGGGGGGUAAUAUUACAAAAUAGCGUACCUGGGCGAUUAUUAAUCGUAAUUAGUUUUAUUUUACGUAAUAAAGCGCCAGGGCGAAUUUGUUAUUUGUUCGUUGAAACGCGUGUACGCGAUUGGUAUUGCGUGCUUUUCUUUUUCUUUAACAUUUAGUUUUAAAUUUCGAAUAAAAUCGCCCCUAUAUUGCAGCCUUGUUUCUUUGGGAUCGCUUUCGUAACACUUACAUAUAUUGUAUAUGGUUAUAUAAUAAGUUAAAUACCCUGUAAAAAUAUAAUAUAGCCCUGCUUGUGCAAUAUAGGAGGUAUUAAAUGUGGCCUAAUAUUUUACGUGUAUUUACAGGGUAAGCUCGAAUAUUUAUCCAAAUUCAAAUUCAUUUAGGGGGUCGGAUGCAAGUUAUAAAUUUAAAAAGAUUCGUUAAAAGACAAAAUAAAGGGGCCGAAUUAUAAAUGGGCCGGGAAUGUGGGAUUUAUGUUAAAGCCCCAUUAUAAGCAAGGCCACAAAAAGCGUUUUUCUUAACCGGUAAUAGUAUACGGAUUCGCAAUUAAUGUUGACGAAAGGUCGGCAAAACGAUUUCGUAACGCUAAAUAUCAUAUUAGUAACUUAUUAAGGGGGAUAUGUUUAAAUACCUGUGGAAAGCUAACUAAUGUAUUUUUACAAUCAUAU